UACGUAGGGCGCAAGCGUUGUCCGGAAUUAUUGAGCGUAAAGAGCUCGUAGGCGGCUUGUCACGUCGGAUGUGAAAGCCCGGGGCUUAACCCCGGGUCUGCAUUCGAUACGGGCAGGCUAGAGUGUGGUAGGGGAGAUCGGAAUUCCUGGUGUAGCGGUGAAAUGCGCAGAUAUCAGGAAGAACACCAAUGGCGAAAGCAGCUUUCUGGGACGGUACUGACGCUGAGACGCGAAAGCGUGGGGAGCGAACAGG
rnacentral:rRNA from 1 species